GGACUUUUAACUCAGUUGGUUAGAGUGCAUCCCUCAUAAGGAUGAAGUCAUAGGUUCGAGCCCUAUAUGGUCCA
rnacentral:tRNA from 1 species